rnacentral:rRNA from 1 species
GACGAACGCUGGCGGCGUGCCUAAUACAUGCAAGUUGAGCGAUGAAGAUUGGUGCUUGCCCCAAUUUGAAGAGCAGCGAACGGGUGGGUAACGCGUGGGGAAUCUGCCUUUGAGCGGGGGACAACAUUUGGAAACGAAUGCUAAUACCGCAUAAUAACUUUAAACAUAAGUUUUAAGUUUGAAAGAUGCAAUUGCAUCACUCAAAGAUGAUCCCGCGUUGUAUUAGCUAGUUGGUGAGGUAAAGGCUCACCAAGGCGAUGAUACAUAGCCGACCUGAGAGGGUGAUCGGCCACAUUGGGACUGAGACACGGCCCAAACUCCUACGGGAGGCAGCAGUAGGGAAUCUUCGGCAAUGGACGAAAGUCUGACCGAGCAACGCCGCGUGAGUGAAGAAGGUUUUCGGAUCGUAAAACUCUGUUGGUAGAGAAGAACGUUGGUGAGAGUGGAAAGCUCAUCAAGUGACGGUAACUACCCAGAAAGGGACGGCUAACUACGUG